GUGGGGAAUUUUGGACAAUGGACGAAAGCCUGAUCCAGCCAUGCCGCGUGCAGGAUGAAGGCCUUCGGGUUGUAAACUGCUUUUGUACGGAACGAAAAGACUCCUUCUAAUAAAGGGGGUCCAUGACGGUACCGUAAGAAUAAGCACCGGCUAACUACGUGCCAGCAGCCGCGGUAAUACGUAGGGUGCAAGCGUUAAUCGGAAUUACUGGGCGUAAAGCGUGCGCAGGCGGUUAUAUAAGACAGAUGUGAAAUCCCCGGGCUCAACCUGGGAAAUGCAUUUGUGACUGUAUAGCUAGAGUACGGUAGAGGGGGAUGGAAUUCCGCGUGUAGCAGUGAAAUGCGUAGAUAUGCGGAGGAACACCGAUGGCGAAGGCAAUCCCCUGGACCUGUACUGACGCUCAUGCACGAAAGCGUGGGGAGCAAACAGGAUUAGAUACCCUAGUAGUCC
rnacentral:rRNA from 1 species